GUGCUGCAUGUGCUCUAUGGCUAAUAAUUCUAAUCGAAAGAUAUUCCAUUUUUAAUUGAUGCAGUUUCAAACUGACAGGUGAAAUCAGUUUGGACCCAUUUGCUGAGAAUGUGGAAACCUGAAACCAUCUAUAUAAAAUGAAUGGACUCAACUGACAGCGCAUGCCCAAGACUGUAAGGUGAAAACACACUUUCAACAGCUUUGAUUGAGCAGGAGAUCAGCUUAGGUAAACACCAGCAGGCACACGCAGUGGGUCCCAGGACCAAGGAUGAAAAACACUGCCCGCGUCUAAAGUGUGGUGAGCGUUAUGGUGAGAAAUGGCUGCUUCACCUCAAGCAGUUGGGUCCUACUCAUUGGUAAUGGCUUUAUUGACUCAAUGCGCCCACCCCCUUCAUAUCCGCUGGAAAAUGCUGUGGGCCUGAGUGAGUCACGUCAGACGGGUGGAUGAGACUGCGUAAAUCGAUGCCAGACGAGCCUUCCCUACGAGGGCUUUGUGCUGUCGGCCUCAGAACAGUGCUGUGCCGCGGUGCUGCUGAACUGUGGCGCUGAAGGAGUUAACUCCGCUCUUCCCUUUGCUCUCCAGAGACAAUUUUGUCCUGGAUAGAAAUAGACCUGACAAGACUUCUGCUGAAUCUGUUUCUUUUAAUCGCUUUUUCUCCUCUUCGCAGUCUUUUCCUUAAUGCCGUUCAUCUAUAACAGUGUUGCAUGCAGUUUUACUCUGUUCUACUUUAUUAAAACACAAAGGACCUGCUAUUAUACGUACUCACUUUGAUCCUAA